GGCAGCAAUGAAGAGUAAAGAGCAGUGAGAACAAGGCUGAGAAGAGACCGGGUUAGAAGUGGCCAGGAAGAAAGUACGCCAUAGAGAGCAGGACAUGCGGAGGAAAUGGCACAGAAGAUUCAGCAGCCUCCCCGUCAAUCCAGCUCUUGAAGGUACUAGAUACUCCUGCAUGGGUGGGGAGAAGAAGGACACUCCAAGAGCUUCCUGCAGCAUUUCAGAACCUCCUCAGGAAGCACUUCUCCAAGUGUGGCCUUCUCAAAUCACUGAGACUACUUCCCUUGGGUUCUCAGACUUCACUUCGAAAUCACUGCAUUAAUCCAUUGGUUUACAGAACAAGUGCAGGCACUGAGGAGGCCUUGGAGUUGCUGACAAAGAGUUAACAAAGAGCACAACAGGUAAAAGUUUGCCCCAAGGAGUAUUAAUUCCCCCACACUUCCAAGAACUACAGUGCAUCUGCCCAGAAGGCUACACCAGCUUCUCACCCCACAGACAGACAAGGGAGGUCCCAUGAGGAACCU